AUAAAGACGUUGAAGAAGGAAAGUACUGUAUAUGGAACUUACAGAGAGGAAAUUGGUAGCUGAGAUAAUUUCUAUUGGAAGUAUAUAGGAAGUGCCCUUUGGAGUUACACACCGAAGUUUUUAGUAGGCUGUGUCGGUUGCAACCGUUAUAUUGCUCGGGCAUGAAGUGCUUUAAAGUAGUUACUUUAAUAUUUCAAUUAGAGUGGAACGAAGGUUAACAUAUAUAAUCUCGUCUCUAGG
rnacentral:ncRNA from 1 species